AUGAACGCUAGCUACAGGCUUAACACAUGCAAGUCGAGGGGCAGCAUGAACUUAGCUUGCUAAGUUUGAUGGCGACCGGCGCACGGGUGAGUAACACGUAUCCAACCUUCCGUUUACUCAGGGAUAGCCUUUCGAAAGAAAGAUUAAUACCUGAUAGUAUGGUGAGAUUGCAUGAUAGCACCAUUAAAGAUUUAUUGGUAAACGAUGGGGAUGCGUUCCAUUAGGUAGUAGGCGGGGUAACGGCCCACCUAGCCAACGAUGGAUAGGGGUUCUGAGAGGAAGGUCCCCCACAUUGGAACUGAGACACGGUCCAAACUCCUACGGGAGGCAGCAGUGAGGAAUAUUGGUCAAUGGGCGAGAGCCUGAACCAGCCAAGUAGCGUGAAGGAUGAAGGUCCUACGGAUUGUAAACUUCUUUUAUACGGGAAUAAAGUUUCCUACGUGUAGGAUUUUGUAUGUACCGUAUGAAUAAGCAUCGGCUAACUCCGUGCCAGCAGCCGCGGUAAUACGGAGGAUGCGAGCGUUAUCCGGAUUUAUUGGGUUUAAAGGGAGCGCAGACGGGAGAUUAAGUCAGUUGUGAAAGUUUGCGGCUCAACCGUAAAAUUGCAGUUGAUACUGGUUUCCUUGAGUGCAGUUGAGGCAGGCGGAAUUCGUGGUGUAGCGGUGAAAUGCUUAGAUAUCACGAAGAACCCCGAUUGCGAAGGCAGCUUGCUAAACUGUAACUGACGUUCAUGCUCGAAAGUGUGGGUAUCAAACAGGAUUAGAUACCCUGGUAGUCCACACGGUAAACGAUGGAUACUCGCUGUUGGCGAUAUACUGUCAGCGGCCAAGCGAAAGCAUUAAGUAUCCCACCUGGGGAGUACGCCGGCAACGGUGAAACUCAAAGGAAUUGACGGGGGCCCGCACAAGCGGAGGAACAUGUGGUUUAAUUCGAUGAUACGCGAGGAACCUUACCCGGGUUUGAACGUAGUCUGACCGGAGUGGAAACACUCUUUCUAGCAAUAGCAGAUUACGAGGUGCUGCAUGGUUGUCGUCAGCUCGUGCCGUGAGGUGUCGGCUUAAGUGCCAUAACGAGCGCAACCCUUAUCACUAGUUACUAACAGGUGAAGCUGAGGACUCUGGUGAGACUGCCAGCGUAAGCUGUGAGGAAGGUGGGGAUGACGUCAAAUCAGCACGGCCCUUACGUCCGGGGCUACACACGUGUUACAAUGGGAGGUACAGAAGGCAGCUACCCGGCGACGGGAUGCCAAUCCCCAAAACCUCUCUCAGUUCGGACUGGAGUCUGCAACCCGACUCCACGAAGCUGGAUUCGCUAGUAAUCGCGCAUCAGCCACGGCGCGGUGAAUACGUUCCCGGGCCUUGUACACACCGCCCGUCACACCAUGAGAGUUUGUAACACCCAAAGUCGGUGGGGUAACCUUUUAGGAGCCAGCCGCCUAAGGUGGGACAGAUGAUUAGGGUG
rnacentral:rRNA from 1 species